AAUGGGUCAGCGACUUAUAUUCUGUAGCAAGGUUAACCGAAUAGGGGAGCCGAAGGGAAACCGAGUCUUAACUGGGCGUUAAGUUGCAGGGUAUAGACCCGAAACCCGGUGAUCUAGCCAUGGGCAGGUUGAAGGUUGGGUAACACUAACUGGAGGACCGAACCGACUAAUGUUGAAAAAUUAGCGGAUGACUUGUGGCUGGGGGUGAAAGGCCAAUCAAACCGGGAGAUAGCUGGUUCUCCCCGAAAGCUAUUUAGGUAGCGCCUCGUGAAUUCAUCUCCGGGGGUAGAGCACUGUUUCGGCAAGGGGGUCAUCCCGACUUACCAACCCGAUGCAAACUGCGAAUACCGGAG
rnacentral:rRNA from 1 species